UGCAAGUCGAACGCUUCUUUCCUCCCGAGUGCUUGCACUCAAUUGGAAAGAGGAGUGGCGGACGGGUGAGUAACACGUGGGUAACCUACCCAUCAGAGGGGGAUAACACUUGGAAACAGGUGCUAAUACCGCAUAACAGUUUAUGCCGCAUGGCAUAAGAGUGAAAGGCGCUUUCGGGUGUCGCUGAUGGAUGGACCCGCGGUGCAUUAGCUAGUUGGUGAGGUAACGGCUCACCAAGGCCACGAUGCAUAGCCGACCUGAGAGGGUGAUCGGCCACACUGGGACUGAGACACGGCCCAGACUCCUACGGGAGGCAGCAGUAGGGAAUCUUCGGCAAUGGACGAAAGUCUGACCGAGCAACGCCGCGUGAGUGAAGAAGGUUUUCGGAUCGUAAAACUCUGUUGUUAGAGAAGAACAAGGACGUUAGUAACUGAACGUCCCCUGACGGUAUCUAACCAGAAAGCCACGGCUAACUACGUGCCAGCAGCCGCGG
rnacentral:rRNA from 1 species